rnacentral:rRNA from 1 species
CGGCUGGGUAGCUAUGUUCGGUCCGGAUAAGCGCUGAAAGCAUAUAAGCGCGAAACCGAUCCCAAGAUUAGAUAUCUCUAACAUAAGUUAAUAAGGCUCGUUGUAGACUACGACGUUGAUAGGCUGCAGGUGUAAGUGUAGUAAUACAUUCAGCUGAGCAGUACUAAUAAGCCGAACGGCUUUACCAAA